rnacentral:tmRNA from 1 species
GUUCUUCGGAACUAUAACGAUAAACCCUUGUGUAAUAAACGGCUCGGACCCGGGGGCGGUACCCGGCGGCUCCACCA